rnacentral:rRNA from 1 species
AUGGAGGCGCUGCUGCUCGUGGUGUCCAACCCCGUUGACGUCCUCGCCGGCCUCGCCUUCAAGAUUUCAGAGUUGGGUUCCAGGCGAGCGGCGUCAUCUGCUCCGGUACCGACCUCGACGCCUCCUGGUUUUGGUUCCUCAUCAACGACCCCCCGCCAUCAACGCACAGGACGUGCAGGAUUCCCAGCCCACCCCAGCAUCCCCUUCAACCCGGAACCAGUUUACUGUUGCGCCUCUGCAACCUUACAGGUCGCCACAGUCUGUGCAACAGCUAGCAGCAGGGCCCAUUGUCGUUGCCGUGCAUCCCAGGUUCAUCUGCUUGCUGCUGUUGCCAUCGCUGAAACCAACCAGGAGUUAGUGGCUUCAAAGCACCAAAGUUGGUCGGACAAUCUGGUGCUUAUCUGCUGGGAUUUUGAAUUGAAUAUGUGUGGAAUUUCUGGUAGCUAUGUGGAUCUAUUGGCUCCGAAAACUGAUACCCCAGUGUCUACAAUUUGUGGCCAUGUAGGCUCAAGCGUCUCUCCUUCAUCAUGUAAAAUGUCAACUUGA